AUCUCCCCAGCAUGCAGAGUCUGAUGUCUUCCCUAUAGAUGAUUCCAGAGACUCUGUGAGGCCACUAUUGCAAGGUGAGACGCUUUGCGUUGAUUGGUGCUGCUGGACCACACUGGAGGUGCGAGUCCGCCGUGUAAUGGUUUAUGCCAUUACAAAGGAGCUGGCCUCUGUACUCAACUGGACAGGGGAAAAAAAACAAGGACCAGACAAAGCAAAAAAGGGCAUUUAAAGAGACAGCGCCGUGCAGAUGCAUAUUUGAUGGCCUGGCGCAGCAGGUAGGGGCGAACUCUAUGUCUGAGUUGGUCUUUGCUCAAGCAAUCCAGAAAUGGCUCAGAUAUG